GUCGAGAAUCUUCCGCAAUGCGCGAAAGCGUGACGGAGCGACACCGCGUGAUGGAUGAAGUCCUUCGGGGCGUAAACAUCUUUUAUAAAGGAGGAAAUUUUUGACGUUACUUUAUGAAUAAGGGGCUCCCAAUCUCGUGCCAGCAGGAGCGGUAAUACGAGAGCCUCAAGCGUUAUCCGGAAUCAUUGGGCGUAAAGGGUGCGUAGGUGGUUUGAUUAGUCUCCCGUUAAAACUUCGAGCUUAACUCGAAAAGAGCGGGGGAAACGGUCAAACUAGAGUAUGUGAGAGGUGGGUGGAACUCAUGGUGUAGGGGUGAAAGCCGUUGAUAUCAUGGGGAACACCAAAAGCGAAGGCAGCACACUGGCACAUCACUGACACUGAGGCACGAAACCUAAGGUAGCGAAUGGGAUUAGAUACCCGGGUAGUCC
rnacentral:rRNA from 1 species